rnacentral:lncRNA from 1 species
UAUCCAAAACAUUGUAAAAUUGUUUCGAGAGAAAUUGGCUGCCAAGUUCCCAGAAUGCCGCCUUCCUACACUAGAAGGUCCAAGUUCACAAGGCAGUUCUUCAUCGUCAAUGUUGAGACCUAAGCCAUCCAACGACAAGGUGAUUCUUUACACAAUUAGUGUUAAUAAUGGCCUAGGUGCAAAUGGGUUGGUAAAGAAACUUCUGAUGAGUGGGAAUGUUGUAUUUGAGGAGAGGAAUUGUUCAACAGAAUCAGAGUAUAUGAGAGAGCUAGAAGAGCUGGUCGGUAAUGACAGGGUAAGGUUCCCUAUGGUGAUUGUGAAUGGGAAGGACUUGUGCGGAGAAGAAGAGGUGGAGGGUUUAGAUGAUUUCGAGAACAAGCAAAAGCUUAUAUCAGUACUGAAUCAUCUCUAUGUUUCUGCAAAAACAAUAGAAAACCUUCAUGACAUGUUUAGUAGGAGUUUAACAUUUCAAAGUAGUAUUCAGGACCAGUGGAUCAAUCGGAGAUACUCUUAGUGGUUGUGCUACUUCUUUUCCUGUUUCUUUACCAUGUUUCUUUUAAUAUAAAUGUAACUAGCUCUCAUUCUUUGACUCUUCAUCUUAUUUAGUUUUGUGUAUGUCGAUUAGGCUUCUGUCCUUUUAGGACUUGCUAGGCGAGCCUAACUCCGGCUCAUCUGAUAGUUUUUGGUUUUAGUUUGGUGCUCAUCUGAUAGUUUUUUCUUCAAAAUUGCUUGGUGUAUUUAAGUAUCAUGUAAUAGAAGCAACAGCUGAUAUAAGCUGUCAUAUCUAUGAAUCCACAGUAAGGGUACAAUUCCUCUUUUAAUUUGAUCUCUAUAACAAUGUAUAAUGCAAAACAAAUUGUGCGCAAAAUUCAACUUUAUUCCAAAGAAUUGUAUUGAUUUGUAUUAUGACUUUGUGCGAGGCCUAUAUAGUUGACUUCCCUCGUCAACUUCUUUGGAAGGUAACUAACUUUUUCUUUUGCUAAGCAACUACUUGGAAGGUACCUAAUUUCACUUCCAAGUUCCUAUCAUUUUAUAUUAAUCUGCCAAUUUUGUGUUAGAAAUACAUCUUCUCAAUAAUGUCUAAAGUAUAGAUUAACCAACAAUGUUUUGAUUAGUUGCAAGUUUCUAUCCCUCAUACUAAUUUAAUUCAUAAUAAGCUAAUUCACCAUGGCUCAGAAUGCCUCGUUUUGUCAUGUCUUCUUGAGUUUCAGAGGGGAAACCCGCAACAAGUUCACAUGCUUCUUGUACGAGGCACUGAAAGCCGAAGGAUUUACAGCUUUCAUGGACAGAACUGCCAUACGUGUUGGAGAUGAAGUAGAUUCAACAAUCAAAGAAGGGAUCAGAAACUCUAUGAGCGCCAUAAUUAUAUUCUCCCCAAAUUAUGCCUAUUCUACUUGGUGUCUUGAUGAACUUGUUCUUAUCCUUGAACGCAAAAAGAACUCGAGGUACUUUAUUAUACCAAUUUUUUAUGAGGUCGAAAUUCGAGAUAUUAUAAACUCCAGCUCGGGAAUUAUGGCCUUGCGCUUGAAAAGCAUAAGGCUAGGUACAAUGACAAGGUAGACAAGUGGAAAGAAGCUCUUGCAGAAGUUGGUAAUAUUCUUGGAGAGCAUGUAGAAGGGUAAUUUUUCUACCUUUUCCUCACUGUAAUUCUUGGUUUGGUUUCAUCACUUUCAGGCUGCAGAGCACCUUUAUCCAAAACAUUGUAAAAUUGUUUCGAGAGAAAUUGGCUGCCAAGUUCCCAGAAUGCCACCUUCCUACACUAGAAGGUCCUAGUUCACUAGGCAGUUCUUCAUCGUCAAUGUUGAGACCUAAGCCAUCCAACGACAAGGUGAUUCUUUACACAAUUAGUGUUAAUAAUGGCCUAGGUGCAAAUGGGUUGGUAAAGAAACUUCUGAUGAAUGGGAAUGUUGUAUUUGAGGAGAGAAACUUCUUUCUUGUUUCUUUACCAUGUUU